GCCGUCUCUCUGCAUGCUUGGAUCAAUGAUGAUAACCCAAAAAACAUUCCUUGGAAAAGCUGAACAAAAUGAGAGAACUGCAAACCGUCGUUCUCAUCAUGACUGAGGUCCGGGCCAGCCAUCUAAGCAGGAAGAUUUCAGUAGAGAUGUGGCCGUGUUCCUGUGUGCUUUUUUAGGAGAUCUCUCUGCGGUCAGGGGUUACUCUCUCGUUUCCCCAUUCCAUGGUACUGUUGGCCUUACAUGAGCCUGUGGAACACUGGAGCAUGUCCAUGUCAGGCCAUGCUCAGCCCACGGACCCAGAAGUCCAGUCGCCACUGAAUGGGCUCCCCAUUUGUCUAACUCAGCAUGAUGUCAACAAGGGUGGGAAGUACUGGAAGAGAUCUCUCUUGCUCAUCCUCAAGGUGCCCUGCUGGUUGGAGGAUGUGAUGCUUCCCAAGGCGGUAGGAGGUCCAUUGUGUCAGGCUUUGUGGGUGAUAGAACGUCUUCUCAGAGGUCCAGUGGAGAAGGCACCUGAAGUGAGUGAGGGAAGAUCUGGAAAUGGAUUUUCUGCCCCCCCUCAUGGCCAGCAGCCCUGUGGGACCUGCUUGACAUUGCCCCACACUGUGGGGGACAUCCUUAUGAGAAGCCAGGGUUGUGUGCUUCACUGGAAGGGGGGGAAUGUGUUUGUCUUAUGGUAGAUCGGUCCCAAGUAUCUCUCCCUGAGACAUCUCCACCUGUGGCUUAGAAUUCACCUGCUUGUGCACAUUGUCUUUUGCUGUGAUAGUAUUUCCCUGCUGAGGAAACAGAAUUCAAGUCUCACCCACAAAAGGACUCUCUACCCCAACCCCCAACCCCACCACUCCUUCAGUGUGGUACAUGGCUAUGCAGACAGCAUGGGGUCCCUCCAUCACUGGUACCCUUGGAGUGGGAGUCCAGGGCCUCGAUGGGUGUGCUGAAUGGGUGGGAGGUGGCAUAAGGUUUAUUGAGGCCCCUUGCUGUGCUACUGUGAUUUGUCAGGGGCCAGGGCCGGGUUUCAGGGUAUAACGAGGGUCCAGGGAUGAGCCGAGGGCUAUCCUUCCCACCCAUCUUAGCUAGAGACAGGCACAUGCAGUCGAAUGCACCCAUAGUUGUCCUGUGUGUACACACAAGGAAACACACUCAUCCAUGUGGGACGCUCCUGAGGUAUCCCCUGAAAGCAGACAGAUGAUAGAGUGAGGCAGGGCCGUGUGGGAUCCAUGAUAUAGAUGCCUUUCCCUGGCUUCACUCAUGGUUUUUUCUGUCUCCACUAAGCAGCAGGAGUUUCCUUGGUAGGCCAGCCUUCAGCUGAGUGUUCCUGGGUUCCUGAGGACAGAGAAGCCUUGGAGGCUGCAAGUCUCGUGUCCUCUUGAUGAUCUCCACACCUGAGGAUGGUUGAGAAUAGACAGCUGCUGAGACUGGUCAUCCAUCACUGCAUGUGCCAGAUUUCUCAUUCCUGGUGACUCCAGGCAGUUGCUGUAAGACUUAUGUCCUGUCGAUGAGCUCUGUACGUGUGGACUGUUGAUGAUGGUUAAAGUUUGGAUCGAGUCAGAGUGCUGCAUUAGGGAAAUGAGGUGACCUAUGGCUGUGAUGUCUUUGAAAUUGUUCCUGCAUGUUCUAGGGUUAGCACACCUCCAAGGCUGGUGGAGGAGGCCUGCCAUGAGACCCCCAUGUCAGAAAGCAAAGUGUAUGAUGGUCAGGUCAUGGGAGUGAGCAUUUCCAUUUCCUUGUGGAGGCUUUGAAAAGAGGAUGAUCUGAAGAUGCUAUGGAGAUUGCUAGAACGGCCAGUCGCUGUGGUAGGCACGCCGUCAGCUGGGUGUUUCCGGUUCCUGGGCCCUGGAGCACCCUAUGAGGGCUGCAAGCCUGUGUCCCCCCGAUGAGCUCCAGGCCUGUGGAGUGCGCAGGAUGGGUGAGUUGCUGUGGCACACAUGCCUCUGCUGGCUGGGCCUGCCUUCUGGACCCCAGAGGAGCCUUGGAGGGCUGCCAGCCUUGUGUCCUCAUGACCAGCUCCGGGCUUGUGGAUGUUCAGGACAGUGGUACUGCCAUGUGAUGGAUUCCAGAGGACUACCAGGAAGACUUCUUUAUCCUAAGAUACAAUGAGAGGUGGUUUUGCCUUGUGACAGAUUCCAGGGACAAGAGGGAAGAUUAGCAUGUCCUGAGGCCCACAGAGAGGUCAAAAAACCCUGCAGCACAUGUGCAGAGGCUUCUUCUGAAUGUUGAUGAAUGGCUGAUGAUGGUGACCUUGCCAUAUGAGGGACUCCAAACACUUAGUGGGAAGAUCUGUAUCUCUUCAGAUCGCUAGAGAGGUCAGCAAGCCCUGGGACACAUCUGGAGUAUCUUCUUUUGUUUGAUGAUGGAUGGCUGAUGACAUUGGCUUUGCCAUGUGAUGGAUUGCAGGGACCUAGAGAGAAGAACUGUGUACCCGAGACCCUCAGAGAGGUCGACGUGGAUUGACCUCAUUAGGGUAGCAGUGCGUGUCUGAUGAAGAUUGCUGAGGCACAGCAUGAAGACCUGCAUAUCCCGAGAGCCCUGGGAAGCUCUGGAAACCACGGAGCUAUAUGAAGUGGCUUCUUUUGGACGGUGGAGGAUAACAUUUAUAGUGAAAUUAAAGAGAAGAUGAAGUAUGUCCGAAUUCCCUGGAAUCUUGUCGCCAAACCAGAGAAGUGCUGAUUUUGUCACUUGUACCAACUCCCUCAUCUGUGAAGGAAUAAAACAAUGUACUCCUGGGGUAACGUUCAUUUUUAAUAAACGUAUUUUUGUGUAAUUUGAGUAUUUUUAAAAUUAUCAACAAAUUAAUGUGUGAGCAGUUGAUAAACGCAAGUAUUAUUGGCCAUUACCAAUCUGAUGAGCUGUCUGAGAUGUCACUCAUUAAGAUUUUGUGCUUUUCUCAAUUUCAGAUAAUAUCUAAAAUAUCUUACAGAGAUUUAUAAAUUACUGUAUUUUAUAUACAGAUUAAUAGUAAAAUCUAUCUUGUGCAAGUAUGAAAAAUGUGCAGAGUCUUCCUCCUAUUCAUUCAUAUGUAUAUUUGUGUGUGUGUGUGUGUGUGUGUGUGUGUGUGUGUGUGUGUGUGUAUUACUUUCUGCCGGUCAAAGAGGACCAAGAACUGGGCUUCAUGUGGAUGAAUUUAUUCUUUCCUUUUUGUUUGACACAAAGGAAAGUAUAAGGAAAAAUUCACCCUCUCACUCUCAAGGUUCAGUGGGAGUCUCGUCUGGUAAGCAUUUUUCCUGAAAACACUGACAUUUCCCUUACAGCACCGUAAUAGUCCGGUGAGCCUGGACUGCAGCAACACUAGGCAACUUUGGGGCUAGUACUUGGCGGUGGCACUGGUCUCCUAUGGGCAAGAAAAUAGUCUAAAUCAAAAGAGAAUGAGGCUUUUUACUCUUCAUUUCUCUAGUGAGUGAAGGAAGUAUAUGGAAACUGAAAAGUGAUUAUGUAGGAUCUUCAUAGUAUAUUUUAAGUUUC
rnacentral:lncRNA from 1 species